UGGUAAGAGGCUGAUAUGGAAGGGCUUUGAAACAAGAAGAAAACUCUUCCCAACCUUGAAGGUAAGGUAAUUUUAAGUAUCAAUCUGCAGGCAUCAAGGGGGUUGUUCAAGAACAAAGCUUCAUCUGUUGCUGGUUCUUAUGCAUUUUAAUGCACUGCAGUCGAAGACUAAAGGGAAAAAAAAGUUUAACAAGCUUCUGACUUUGAUUAAAACUCUUUUGUAGGGUUUUUCAUAUAAACAUUUUACAACCCAGAGAGUUAAGUAAGGAUGUUGUUUUUAGAAGAAUGAGCCAAGCUUUGAAAAGCAUGUUUUCCAGAAACCUAAAGCGUAGCUGACUGCAUCCCAGUUUUAAUGUAUUUCUGUGGUUAACAGGAUACAGCAGCAGGGGGCAUCGAAGAGAGGGUAAGUUUGUACCUAGACAAUCAUUAUAAUUUUGUGUUAAAUACUGAGUUUGCCUUUACAGAGAAUAAAUUUCAAAUAGCAAAGAAAGUUCUGCAAGGGACCUCUACCACUCCCAGAUCCAAGUUAUCGUUGUCAGCCACCUUUACUGACUCCUUUGCCAAUUAUCCUGGAUCUGCACAGAAAUUCUUUUUAUAUGGGCAUUUUAAGCACCACGAAGAGUGCAUGAUCAACUUUUAGAGAAAAGCAGUCUAGACUAUUAGAACUUUGGUUAUGUUUCUAAGAUAUCUUUUUCUGAAGAACAAGACUGUGCUCAUUGGGAUGAAAUGAACAGAAACCCAGGACACAGAGGAAGACGAAAGACCGGAAAGGCGAAGAAGACAAGCAGGCACUGAGCAUGGAAACAAGUGGUGGUAAACAAACAGACACAUGGUUGUUCUAGUCUGUGACAGAAAUGUCAUGCCUUGAGGAGAUGAAGCAGCCACUCCUGCAUGGUUGCCAAGGGAGACCAGAUAAGUAAGUAUUAAGGGUAAUAUUAAUUGAAAUGUUCUGUGUCUAGAUAGAGACAAAGUGCAUGACUUGUAUGACAUCUAUUUUAAACUGGCUUCGGGCUCUUCCUGCAUUUACCUUAGGCUUUUUAUCAGGCUCGGAGAUGUCCCAGAGUUGAGGUUCCUGGAGUCUAAGCACCAGAGGAGAUAGUCCAGACAAUGUUGCUGGGGGAAACGGGGGAAGGGCAAAGCAUUAUGGCAUAUUUAAGAUGGCCCCUUAAAAAAAAGAGACUAUGAUAUGAAUAAGGACAGGCCUAAAUGUAUUUUUUCAUUCAUUCUUAGCAGCUUCUGCUACCAAUUCCCAAGAGGUAAAGAGCUAGUGGGAAAAAACAGUCACUCCCUGGAUAAAGUCAGCUAACUUCAUACUGCCCAUCUUCCACCUUCAAUGAGCUCGUCAGUUCCCUCUUGGUUCCCAAGUUCUCGAUAUCUUUAGUUCUGUAGCGUGAUUUGCUCUUUCACAUUGUGACAGUUAUUAACUAAUUUUUGCUCCAAACCCAUCAUUCUGUUCUCUGCUUUGUGUUGCUUGGCUGUGCAAACCACAUUUUUUGCUUUGUCAGAUACUCCCCGUUAGGGUUUGAUAAUAGGGGAUGCAAGAGGGAGACUAGA